ACCCACCAAGGUCUGUCAUAUCACGCUGCAGGAAGACCUGUACAUGUGGCCUGGUGCCUGCUGUGGCAGCCUCCAUGCUCAGAGACCUGUGGGGCUUGAAUUCCCUUGUUUCCAGCAGAGCCACAGAGGCUGAGGGCCUGUGGAAGCAGUGCAGACUUCCUUCCCGCCAGGCCAGGAUUUUUCUGGCAUCAUGAAUGCAGUCCCAGCCUUGUGCAUUCUGAGAUCCCUUCCAUUGCCACAAGGUGAGGUCUGAUGGGGAAGGCAUUUUGUCAUUCCUCAGCUGCCUCUCUCUGCAAAGAUCCCACGCCCCCACUGAGAUCCCACCUGGCACACGGAGGGGAGUUUGGCCCAUCUUUGGGAUCAACCCCAAGCCAGGGGCCCUCAUGGCCAUGCCACACAUCACAACACCCCUCUGGUAAGGAUGUUGAGCUAGAGGGUAGAAGGCAGAGGCGGGUGGGGACUGCCUUGGUUGGGUCAAUGAUGAGAACUCAUAUGAUCCCGAAGACAGAUGAAGACCUAAAAAUUAUGCUCAAUAAGAUUACGCUGAGGCCCAGUGAAGGGCACCUCACUGAGGCGGGAUCCUGGUGACCCCUGUGACCUGGCAUAGCGCUGGCACCUGGGGAUCGAGGCCACUGAUCUCUCGAGAUUCCCCAGUGAGAUUCUCCUUGGCCUCUGUGCCUCUGUGUGCCUAAGAUGUGCUCCCGCCCUGGGGCGUUGUGCGCCUAUUACUAGGGCUUCCCGGGACUCAUUCCUGGGAACCCAACUAAGCUCCCUUGGUGUCCUGGUGUCUUUCAGUGGGACGUUGUCUUGGUGACCAGGGUCUCGCCAUUGAGCCCACCAUGGGAGGAGAAUGGAUGCCUAUCCCGCGCCCCGUUCAAUAUCCCACCUGGCGCACGGAGGGGAGUUUGGCCUAUCUUCGGGAAUUGGCCCCAAGCCAGGGGCCCUAAUGGCCACCCUGCACAUCACAAUCCCUCUCUGAUCAUGUACCCCGACGGAGAUCCCACCUGGCACACGGAGGGGAGUUUGGCCCAUCUUCGGGAACAGGCCCCAAGCCAUGGGCCCUCAAGGCCACCCUGUGCAUCACAACCCCUCUCUGAUACCGUGGCCCCACUGAGAUCCCACCUGGCGCAUGGAGGGACAUUUGGCCCAUCGUUGGGAACAAGCCUCAAGCCAGGAGCCCCCAUGGCCAUGCCACACAUCAAAAAACUUCUCUGAUCCCGUGCUCUGACCAAGAACCCACCUGUGUCACGGAGGGGAGUUUGGCCCAUCUUCAGGAACAAGCCUCAUGCCAGUGGCCCCCAUGGCCAUGCCGCAUAUCACAAAACCUCUCUGGGGGACGUUGCCAUGGUAACCAGGAUCCCACUUGAGCCCACCAUUGGACGAUAGUGGACACCUGUAUCCCGCGCUGUGACUGAGAUCCCACCUGGAGCACGGUGGGGAGUUUGGCCCAUCUUUAGGAACAGGCCACGACCCAGGGACCCCCAUGGCUACUCUGCCCAUAACAAAACUUCUCUGUGGGACAUCGUCUUGGUGAUCAGGGUCUCGCAUUGAGCCCACCAUGGGAGGAGAAUGGAUGCCUGUAUCCCAUGCACCCACUGAGAUCCCACCUGGAGCACGGAGGGGAGUUUGGCCCAUCUUCAGGAACAUGCCUCAAGCUAGGGGCCCCCAUGGCCAUGCAGCACAUCAUAAAACAUCCUUGGUUGUCUGGAAACAACACGUCACCCACGACACCUGCAAGGGAUGCCCCCGUCCCCCACGGGAUCCUCUAGUUGACGGCCCAUGGCCCCAUUUCCCAGUCUGGAGGGCACUCCAGUUUUUGUCAGAAUCACUGAUGCCUUACUAGGCACACAAGAUGCUGUGGUGGGAAUUGCACACCCUCAAUGUGACCUCCUGCGUGGAAACAGUGCAACCAAAUUUCACAAAAUGGGUUUUGGAGGCGGGGGCCAGAUCCUGUGCCCCGACCGAGAUCCCACCUGGCGCAAGGAGGGGAGUUUGGCCCAUCAUUGGGAACAAACCUCAAGCCAGGGGCCCCCAAGUCCACCCUGCACAUCACAAAACCUCUCCGAUCCCACCCCACGACCGAGAUCUCACCUGGUGCAUGGAGGGGAGUGUGGCCAAUCUUCGGAAACAGGCCCCAAGCCAAGUGCCCCUAUGGCCACCCUGCAUAUCACAAACCCUCUCUGUGGGACGUCGCCUUGGUGACCAGGGUCUCACCAUUGAGCUCACAAUGGGAGGAGAGUGGAUGUCUGUAUCCUGCACCCUGACUGAGCUCUCACCUGGCACACGAGGGGAGUUUGGCCCAUCUUCGGGAGCAGGCCUCGAGCCAGGGCCCUCAUGUCCACCCAGUGCAUCACAAACCCUCUCUAAUCCCCUGCCCAAAUGAAGAUCCCACCUGGCCCACAUAAUCAAUUGGCCCAGCUUCUGGAAUAUGCCUACACUAAGGUGCCACCCCAGCCAUCUCGCAUUCAAGACACCCUCUUUGUGGGACGUCAUCUUGGCCAGGGUUUCACCAUUUCCCCCACCAUGCCAGGUGAAAGAUGCCACUGCUUGUAGUGGAGGCCCUAGAGGACAUGGUGUGGAUUUUGAGGCCUGUCUCAUGGCAAUGCUGGCCUGUGUGUUGAACUGGGGCCUGCUAUGGCCACAGAGGUCCGUCCUUUCUGUGAACAUCAGCCCUGUGCAAUUGGCUGUCAGUAAAGCAACAGAUCUUCUUGGCAUCUGGAAAGUAUGUAAAUGACAAUGGAUGGCCUCUUCCUCGCUGGUCCAUGGAACAGUUUUACUGGUGUGAGAGAAUGCCCAACUGGAGGCUCAAACCACUGCAGUAUUUGGAGGUCAAAAGCUAGAACAGGUUACUAUUUUUUUUUCAAGUGAACAAGUUACUUUCAAGAAAGAAAGUUUUGCUGAGAUAGGAUUGGAAUCAGGUUUUCCACUUCAAGGAAUAGAGGCCUGCACUCUUACUUAAAUGGGGCAAUAAAAUUCUUAUUUUCUGCUGUGGGAAGGAAUGAACAAAAGGCAACAAUCUGGAGAUACAGGAAGUUAGAAGAGUCACUUAUAAAAUGAAUUCACUGAACUGUAUUACAAUCUCCCCAGCAUUAGGUAUGUAUUCUAGUACUAAUUUUUAAGCAUUAGCCCAACUUACCCGGAC